CGGGUGCUGACGAGCGGCGGACGGGUGAGGAAUGCAUAGGAAUCUGCCUAUUAGUGGGGGAUAACACGGGGAAACUCGUGCUAAUACCGCAUACGUCCUACGGGAGAAAGCGGGGGAUCUUCGGACCUCGCGCUAAUAGAUGAGCCUAUGCCGGAUUAGCUAGUUGGUAGGGUAAAGGCCUACCAGGGCGACGAUCCGUAGCUGGUCUGAGAGGAUGAUCAGCCACACUGGGACUGAGACACGGCCCAGACUCCUACGGGAGGCAGCAGUGGGGAAUAUUGGACAAUGGGCGCAAGCCUGAUCCAGCCAUGCCGCGUGUGUGAAGAAGGCCUUCGGGUUGUAAAGCACUUUAAGUGGGGAGGAAGGUUAGUGGUUUAAUACGCUACUAAAUUGACGUUACUCACAGAAUAAGCACCGGCUAACUCUGUGCCAGCAGCCGCGGUAAUACAGAGGGUGCAAGCGUUAAUCGGAAUUACUGGGCGUAAAGCGCGCGUAGGUGGUUUUGUAAGUUGAAUGUGAAAUCCCCGGGCUUAACCUGGGAAUGGCAUCCAAAACUGCACGACUAGAGUAUGGGAGAGGGAGGUAGAAUUCCAGGUGUAGCGGUGAAAUGCGUAGAGAUCUGGAGGAAUACCGGUGGCGAAGGCGGCCUCCUGGCCUAAUACUGACACUGAGGUGCGAAAGCGUGGGUAGCAAACAGGAUUAGAUACCCUGGUAGUCCACGCCGUAAACGAUGAGAACUAGCCGUUGGUCUCCUUGAGAGGUUAGUGGCGCAGCUAACGCGAUAAGUUCUCCGCCUGGGGAGUACGGCCGCAAGGUUAAAACUCAAAUGAAUUGACGGGGGCCCGCACAAGCGGUGGAGCAUGUGGUUUAAUUCGACGCAACGCGAAGAACCUUACCUGGUCUUGACAUCCACGGAAUCCUGCAGAGAUGUGGGAGUGCCUUCGGGAACCGUGAGACAGGUGCUGCAUGGCUGUCGUCAGCUCGUGUUGUGAAAUGUUGGGUUAAGUCCCGUAACGAGCGCAACCCUUGUCCUUAGUUGCCAGCGAGUAAUGUCGGGAACUCUAAGGAGACUGCCGGUGACAAACCGGAGGAAGGUGGGGACGACGUCAAGUCAUCAUGGCCCUUACGACCAGGGCUACACACGUGCUACAAUGGCCGGUACAGAGGGUUGCCAAGCCGCGAGGUGGAGCCAAUCCCGAAAAGCCGGUCGUAGUCCGGAUUGCAGUCUGCAACUCGACUGCAUGAAGUCGGAAUCGCUAGUAAUCGCAGAUCAGAAUGCUGCGGUGAAUACGUUCCCGGGCCUUGUACACACCGCCCGUCACACCAUGGGAGUGGGUUGCACCAGAAGUAGUUAGCUUAA
rnacentral:rRNA from 1 species